AUUUCCAUCUCUAAAUAAAAAAAAAUUCAAUCUUCCAGUUGAAGAAAUUUGCUCAUAUGUUGGAAAUAUUGACAGAAGGAAGAUGAUAAAUAGGGAGCUGUCCAUACCAAGAAAGCUCUAAUGCCCAAUUGUAAUUUGUUUUAGUCAUGCCUUGCCGUUGAAGUGUCUCAACUUCCUUUUUAGAUCGAGUUUAAAGCCAUGGAAAGAAGCAUGGAGGAAAGUGGAAAAGAUGACGGUUCUAAGACAAUUGAUCCUUUUGAUGGGAAGGAUGAUGAACAGGAAGAUGAUGGAAAUAAGACUAAAACUAGUGUCAGCUCAGGCAACAGCGUAGUUGAUCAGGAGAGUGAAAAGAAGACAACCUCCAAUGGGGUGAGGCAGUAUGUGAGAUCAAAGGUGCCAAGGCUUCGGUGGACUCCUGAUCUUCAUCUUUCUUUUGUUCGAGCCAUAGAGAGACUCGGCGGUCAAGAAAGAGCAACUCCUAAGCUAGUUCAGCAACUGAUGAACAUCAAGGGCCUCAGCAUUGCUCAUGUCAAGAGCCAUUUACAGAUGUAUCGAAGCAAGAAGAUCGAUGAUAAGGGUCAAGUUAUAAAUUCUAGAGGACAAUUGCAUCCCAACGGGAGUGCAGUUCACAACCUUUGGCAACUUCCCACAUUUGAAAGUAUUGACCAAAGGGUUGGUUUCAACUUCAGAUAUAGCAACAUUUCGUGGGGUGGACAUGGGGACUGGAUAUCCAGACCUUCUAUGCCUGCUAUGGGAGCCGGCUUUCAUGAUUCAGUAGCUGGAAGGAUCUCUAAAGGAAUCGGCACCAGUCUAAACAGAAGGAAUGAGGUUUUCUACAUGAAUAAUGAUUGCACUUUGAUCACUGAGCAAUACAGCAAGAGACCCCAUGAAUUCCGGGAAGAAUUUCAGAUGUUUCAUGAUCGAGAACACAUCCGUGCGCUAACCUGCAGAUCAAUCCCUACAGAAACCACUUGCACAAUACAAUUGCAUAGAAGAGGAGUGCAAGAUAAAGGCUUUAACAAUUCAAUUUCCCUAGAUGGGAACUGGAGUAGUAAUAGGGAAGAUCAAAACUCGCUCAAAAGGAAAGCUCCAGAUAGUGAUAUUGAUCUGAAUCUGUCACUGAAUACAAGAUCAAGAAAAGAGGCUAGGAAAGUGGCUUUGGAUGAGGAAGAAGUACUGGACAACAAUUUAUCUCUUUCUUUGUCUUCUCCAUUAAAGAAAGUAAACUAUUCUAUAGAUCUAAACAUGCCCUCAAAGUUUGCAGGUUGAAAGAAGGUAUAUAGUACAAAUGAAGAAGCCAAGGUUGGCAAGUACUCUGGAUCUGACUCUAUGAAUUAGAGAAUUCUAGUGAGAUCUUGUUGGUACUUGGACACAAGGAUAUUGUUGUGUGUUGACAUAGUGACUGACUAACUAAUUAAGUCCUUAAGAGCAAUCUUAUACUGAGACCUAUGUGAGUUCGUGCCCUGGUUGUACCUGCCAUUGAUCAUCUAUUAUAUCAGUCUAGCUAUCAGACAACACAUCUUGUCCUUUUCUUUUUUCUCGAGGGAGUGACCAAUGGAUUUGGAGCUUUUAGAGUUAUUAUUAACUUGAUUAAUUUUUAGGAGUAAUCUUAUGCUAAGAACAAUGCGACCACAUCCCUAUUGA